UUACUUCGGUAAAGAGCGGCGGACGGGUGAGUAACGCGUGGGUAACCUGCCCUGUACACACGGAUAACAUACCGAAAGGUAUGCUAAUACGAGAUAAUAUGCUUUUAUCGCAUGGUAGAAGUAUCAAAGCUUUUGCGGUACAGGAUGGACCCGCGUCUGAUUAGCUAGUUGGUAAGGUAACGGCUUACCAAGGCGACGAUCAGUAGCCGACCUGAGAGGGUGAUCGGCCACAUUGGAACUGAGACACGGUCCAAACUCCUACGGGAGGCAGCAGUGGGGAAUAUUGCACAAUGGGCGAAAGCCUGAUGCAGCAACGCCGCGUGAGCGAUGAAGGCCUUCGGGUCGUAAAGCUCUGUCCUCAAGGAAGAUAAUGACGGUACUUGAGGAGGAAGCCCCGGCUAACUACGUGCCAGCAGCCGCGGUAAUACGUAGGGGGCUAGCGUUAUCCGGAAUUACUGGGCGUAAAGGGUGCGUAGGUGGUUUCUUAAGUCAGAGGUGAAAGGCUACGGCUCAACCGUAGUAAGCCUUUGAAACUGGGAAACUUGAGUGCAGGAGAGGAGAGUGGAAUUCCUAGUGUAGCGGUGAAAUGCGUAGAUAUUAGGAGGAACACCAGUUGCGAAGGCGGCUCUCUGGACUGUAACUGACACUGA
rnacentral:rRNA from 1 species